rnacentral:rRNA from 1 species
UACGAAGGGGGCUAGCGUUGCUCGGAAUCACUGGGCGUAAAGCGCACGUAGGCGGCUUGUUAAGUCAGGGGUGAAAUCCUGGAGCUCAACUCCAGAACUGCCUUUGAUACUGGCAAGCUUGGAGUCCGGGAGAGGUGAGUGGAACUGCGAGUGUAGAGGUGAAAUUCGUAGAUAUUCGCAAGAACACCAGUGGCGAAGGCGGCUCACUGGCCCGGUACUGACGCUGAGACGCGAAAGCGUGGGGAGCAAACAGG